rnacentral:rRNA from 1 species
CGAUUAGGGUUCGAUUCUGGCUCAGGAUGAACGCUAGCGGGAGGCUUAACACAUGCAAGUCGAGGGGUAAAUGGCAGCAAUGCUAUGAGACCGGCGGACGGGUGCGUAACGCGUAUGCAACAUACCUUGUGCAGGGGGAUAGCCCGUGGAAACGCGGAUUAAUAUUCCAUAGUCCAGCUAUAUCGCAUGGUAUAGUUGGUAAAGAUUUAUCGGCACAAGUUUGGCAUGCGUCUGAUUAGCUUGUUGGUAGGGUAACGGCCUACCAAGGCUACGAUCAGUAGGGGUUCUGAGAGGAUUAACCCCCACACUGGUACUGAGACACGGACCAGACUCCUACGGGAGGCAGCAGUGAGGAAUAUUGGUUAAUGGGCGGAAGCCUGAACCAGCCAUCCCGCGUGAAGGAAGACAGCCUUACGGGUUGUAAACUUCUUUUCUGUCAGAAGAAUAAGCUUGUCGAGACGAGUGAUGCCGGUAUGACAGGAAUAAGCAUCGGCUAACUCCGUGCCAGCAGCCGCGGUAAUACGGAGGAUGCAAGCGUUAUCCGGAUUUAUUGGGUUUAAAGGGUGCGCAGGUUGUUUGAUAAGUCAGUGGUGAAAGUCUGUCGCUUAACGGUAGGAUUGCCAUUGAUACUGUUGGACUUGAAUAUGGAUGAGGUAGGCGGAAUGUGUAGUGUAGCGGUGAAAUGCAUAGAUAUUACACAGAACACCGAUUGCGAAGGCAGCUUACUAAUCCAUCAUUGACGC